CUUUUUCAUGUAAGCGGUCACUUUGCCAUACCACUUGUUCGAGUGAACACUGUGACCCUCGCCUCUUAUUUUAUGUCAUACAUGGCUUUGCUGACGCCAGGCGCCACGAUAUUUUGCCGCACGUGCCCCCGAGGUUAAUCGGAGCAGCGCCAAGCUUGAACAAGCCCCGUGACACCUGGGCCGUUUGACACGCUUGCUUGGGACGUGGACAUUUAAAUUGUUUAUUUUUUUGUUUGCUUAUAAUUGUAAAUAUAUUUGGUGAUGGUUU